UACAGAGGGUGCAAGCGUUAAUCGGAAUUACUGGGCGUAAAGGGUGCGUAGGUGGAUACGUAAGUCAGAUGUGAAAUCCCUGGGCUUAACUUAGGAACUGCAUUUGAUACUGUGUAUCUAGAGUAUGGUAGAGGUAAGUGGAAUUUCCGGUGUAGCGGUGAAAUGCGUAGAUAUCGGAAGGAACAUCAGUGGCGAAGGCGACUUACUGGACUGAUACUGACACUGAGGCACGAAAGCGUGGGGAGCGAACAGG
rnacentral:rRNA from 1 species